rnacentral:miRNA from 1 species
GACCAACCAUCCUGGUUUGCCUGAGACUGAGCAGUUUCCUGGGACAUGGGACUUUCAGUGCUAAAACUGAGAAAGU